UAGAGUUUGAUCCUGGCUCAGGAUGAACGCUGGCGGCGUGCCUAACACAUGCAAGUCGAACGGUUUCGCAAGGGACAGUGGCGCACGGGUGAGUAACACGUAGCCAACCUGGCCUGAAGCGCGGGAUAACGGUUCGAAAGGACUGCUAAGACCGCAUAAGCUCACGAGGGGAAGGACCUAGUGAGAAAACAGCGCAAGCUGCUUCAGGGGGGGGCUGCGGCCCAUCAGGUAGUUGGGGUGGUAACGGCACACCAAGCCGACGACGGGUAGGGGGUCUGAGAGGAUGAUCCCCCACACUGGGACUGAGACACGGCCCAGACUCCUACGGGAGGCAGCAGUGAGGGAUAUUGGUCAAUGGGCGAAAGCCUGAACCAGCGACGCCGCGUGGGUGAAGAAGGUCUUCGGAUCGUAAAGCCCUUUUCUGCGUGAAGAGUAAAAGGACGGUAGCGCAGGAAGAAGUCUCGGCUAACUACGUGCCAGCAGCCCCGGUCA
rnacentral:rRNA from 1 species